UCUGUUUUGUUUGAUCAGCCGUUUUACUGCCUUGUACAAACAUUGUUUGGAAACAAUGAAGUGGGAUGACUUCUGUUUUGUUUGAUCAGCCGUUUUACUGCUGUGUCACAGACACUGUUUGGAAACAAUGAAGUGGAAUGACUUCUGUUUUGUUUGAUCAGCCGUUUUACUGCUGUGUCACAGACACUGAUUGGAAACAAUGAAGUGGGAUGACUUCUGUUUUGUUUGAUCAGCCG